rnacentral:lncRNA from 1 species
CACCUUGACUGGUGCAUUAAACUUGUAGAUUUUAUGUUUCGCUCACACAGAGAUCCGUGCGGUAACCUGACACCGCAGUGUAGCAAUUAUAUCUACCGAGGUAGUUUAAAGGGCAAUUUGCAGUAAUUUCUGAUAAAAUAGGCGAUACUAUGUUUUAUGAACCCCAUCUGUCCCUAAUUUAUGUCAACAUAGGAUGUUAAUUCAAUGCGGAAUAUUUCACAUGCCGGUUAAGACAAUGGCAAAGGCUUUACUUGGAAAAGUGGUUGUUAAAGGACAUGUGUAUCCAAUAAUGAAUCCAUACUGUCUGUUUGGAAGUGCUGACGGCUGUGAUAUAAUAGUUAAAGACACGAUUCCGACGCAUUUUCAAACAGAGUUUAAUUCUGUGAAGCAGGCAUUCCUCAGAUGUUUCAAACCAGUAACUCUCGAUGGACAAGUCGUCAGCGGUGUGGCCCUUCUUCCCGAUGUUGCGGUUAUAUUAAUAAAUGGAAAAUAAUUCCAAUUUCUAAAACAGGUUCAGCGAACAGAGAAAAGGAUAAAACCGGUCGAGGAAGCUCUGAGGUUCGUUUUAGGACAACAUGAUCCUGAAGAUAUAUGCGAAAAAUAUAUCAACGACUUUAUAGGUGUAUUACUGUUUAGCAGUAACCAUUCUACUGCUACAGGUAAACUAGACGGCAGCAGUCAUCUGUCAGAGAUAAUUGGAUAGCUGCUGUGCUUAAUGACCAUUUUAUCGGUCUCUGGUCGAGGUGUUUUUGAGAAAAAAAUUGAUCAGAAAUGGAAAAUUCCUUGCGGAAUACCAUGAUGUUUUAUCCAAAGCUGACGACGUGAAGGACAAAGACACAAACUACACAUAUUUCUUUGACUU